GAUGAACGCUAGCUACAGGCUUAACACAUGCAAGUCGAGGGGAAACGACAUCGAAAGCUUGCUUUCGAUGGGCGUCGACCGGCGCACGGGUGAGUAACGCGUAUCCAACCUGCCCACCACUUGGGGAUAACCUUGCGAAAGUAAGACUAAUACCCAAUGAUAUCUCUAGAAGACAUCUGAAAGAGAUUAAAGAUUUAUCGGUGAUGGAUGGGGAUGCGUCUGAUUAGCUUGUUGGCGGGGUAACGGCCGACCAAGGCUACGAUCAGUAGGGGUACUAAGAGGAAGGUCCCCAACAGUGGAACUGAGACACGGUCCAAACUCCUACGGGAGGCAGCAGUGAGGAAUAUUGGUAAAUGGACGAGAGUCUGAACCAGCCAAGUAGCGUGCAGGAUGACGGCCCUAUGGGUUGUAAACUGCUUUUAUAAGGGAAUAAAGUGAGUCUCGUGAGACUUUUUGCAUGUACCUUAUGAAUAAGGACCGGCUAAUUCCGUGCCAGCCGCCGCAGUAA
rnacentral:rRNA from 1 species